rnacentral:rRNA from 1 species
UGGCUCAGAGCGAACGUUAGCGGCGGGCCUAACACAUGCAAGUCGAACGCGAAAGGUCUUCGGACUGAGUAGAGUGGCGCACGGGUGAGUAACACGUAGGUAAUCUACCUUUGGCGGGGGAUAACGUUCCGAAAGGAGCGCUAAUACCGCAUAAGACCACGGAGUCUCCGGACGCUGUGGGAAAAGGUGGCCUCUUCUUGAAAGCUACCACCGAAGGAUGAGCCUGCGUCCCAUCAGCUAGUUGGUAAGGUAAUGGCUUACCAAGGCGAAGACGGGUAGCUGGUUUGAGAGAAUGAUCAGCCACACUGGCACUGGAACACGGGCCAGACUCCUACGGGAGGCAGCAGUGAGGAAUAUUGGGCAAUGGGCGAAAGCCUGACCCAGCCACGCCGCGUGAGUGAUGAAGGCCCUCGGGUCGUAAAGCUCUGUGGAGAGGGACGAAAACCCUGGUUUCAAAUAGGCUCCAGGCUUGACGGUACCUCUUUAGCAAGCACCGGCUAACUCUGUG